rnacentral:rRNA from 1 species
UACGUAGGGGGCUAGCGUUGUCCGGAAUCAUUGGGCGUAAAGAGCGUGUAGGCGGCCCGAUAAGUCCGCUGUGAAAGUCCAGGGCUCAACCCUGGGAUGCCGGUGGAUACUGUCGGGCUCGAGUCCGGAAGAGGAGUGUGGAAUUCCUGGUGUAGCGGUGAAAUGCGCAGAUAUCGGAAGGAACAUCAGUGGCGAAAGCGGCUUCCUGGACCAGUACCGACGUUCAGGCACGAAAGCGUGGGGAGCAAACAGG